CACGUAGGUGGCAAGCGUUGUCCGGAAUUAUUGGGCGUAAAGCGCGCGCAGGCGGUCCUUUAAGUCUGAUGUGAAAGCCCACGGCUCAACCGUGGAGGGUCAUUGGAAACUGGGGGACUUGAGUACAGAAGAGGAAAGCGGAAUUCCACGUGUAGCGGUGAAAUGCGUAGAGAUGUGGAGGAACACCAGUGGCGAAGGCGGCUUUCUGGUCUGUAACUGACGCUGAGGCGCGAAAGCGUGGGGAGCAAACAGG
rnacentral:rRNA from 1 species